rnacentral:tRNA from 1 species
GGGCCUUUAGCUCAGCGGUUAGAGCAGGGCACUCAUAAUGCCUUGGUCGCAGGUUCAAAUCCUGCAAGGCCCACCA